rnacentral:rRNA from 1 species
GAUGAACGCUGGCGGCGUGCCUAAUACAUGCAAGUCGAGCGAACAGACGAGGAGCUUGCUCCUCUGACGUUAGCGGCGGACGGGUGAGUAACACGUGGAUAACCUACCUAUAAGACUGGGAUAACUUCGGGAAACCGGAGCUAAUACCGGAUAAUAUAUUGAACCGCAUGGUUCAAUAGUGAAAGACGGUUUUGCUGUCACCUAUAGAUGGAUCCGCGCCGCAUUAGCUAGUUGGUAAGGUAACGGCUUACCAAGGCAACGAUGCGUAGCCGACCUGAGAGGGUGAUCGGCCACACUGGAACUGAGGCACGGUCCAGACUCCUACGGGAGGCAGCAGUAGGGAAUCUUCCGCAAUGGGCGAAAGCCUGACGGAGCAACGCCGCGUGAGUGAUGAAGGUCUUCGGAUCGUAAAACUCUGUUAUUAGGGAAGAACAAAUGUGUAAGUAACUAUGCACGUCUUGACGGUACCUAAUCAGAAAGCCACGGCUAACUACGU